GUAGGUGAACCUGCGGAAGGAUCAUUAUCAAAACAGCGGACUUCGGUCCUUGCUGCACCCUUGUCUUUUGCGUACCGUAUGUUUCCUCGGCGGGCUUGCCUGCCGGUUGGACAUUAUCAAACCUUUUUGUAGUUGCAAUCAGCGUCAGAAAAUAAACAAUAAUUACAACUUUCAACAACGGAUCUCUUGGUUCUG
rnacentral:misc_RNA from 1 species